rnacentral:rRNA from 1 species
GUCGAACGCUGGCGGCGUGCUUAACACAUGCAAGUCGAACGAUGAAGCUAGAGCUUGCUCUGGUGAAUUAGUGGCGAACGGGUGAGUAACACGUGAGUAACCUGCCCCGAACUCUGGGAUAACUGCUGGAAACGGUAGCUAAUACUGGAUACGACCUACGAAAGCAUCUUCUGUAGGUGGAAAGCAUUUCGGUGAGGGCUGGGCCCGCGGCCUAUCAGCUUGUUGGGGAGGUAGUGGCUCACCAAGGCGACGACGGGUAGCCGGCCUGAGAGGGCGACCGGCCACACUGGGACUGAGACACGGCCCAGACUCCUACGGGAGGCAGCAGUGGGGAAUAUUGCGCAAUGGGCGAAAGCCUGACGCAGCAACGCCGCGUGCGGGAUGACGGCCUUCGGGUUGUAAACCGCUUUCAGCAGGGAAGAAGCCGCAAGGUGACGGUACCUGCAGAAGAAGCACCGGCUAACUACGUGCCAGCCGCCGCAGUAA